AUUGAACGCUGGCGGCAUGCCUUACACAUGCAAGUCGAACGGCAGCACGGGAGCAAUCCUGGUGGCGAGUGGCGAACGGGUGAGUAAAGUAUCGGAACGUGCCCAGUCGUGGGGGAUAACGUAGCGAAAGUUACGCUAAUACCGCAUACGAUCUAUGGAUGAAAGCGGGGGAUCGCAAGACCUCGCGCGAUUGGAGCGGCCGAUAUCAGAUUAGGUAGUUGGAGGGGUAAAGGCUCACCAAGCCGACGAUCUGUAGCUGGUCUGAGAGGACGAACAGCCGCACUGGGACUGGGAAACGGCCCAGACUCCUACGGGAGGCAGCAGUGGGGAAUUUUGGACAAUGGGCGAAAGACUGAUCCAGCCAUGCCGCGUGCAGGAUGAAGGCCUUCGGGUUGUAAACUGCUUUUGUACGGAACGAAAAGGUUUGGCCUAAUAAGCUGAGCUCAUGACGGUACCGUAAGAAUAAGCACCGGCUAACUACGUGCCAGCAGCCGCCGUAA
rnacentral:rRNA from 1 species